GACGAACGCUGGCGGCGUGCCUAAUACAUGCAAGUAGAACGCUGAAGGAGGAGCUUGCUUCUCCGGAUGAGUUGCGAACGGGUGAGUAACGCGUAGGUAACCUGCCUGGUAGCGGGGGAUAACUAUUGGAAACGAUAGCUAAUACCGCAUAACAGUAGAUAUUGCAUGAUAUCUGCUUGAAAGGUGCAAUUGCAUCACUACCAGAUGGACCUGCGUUGUAUUAGCUAGUUGGUGGGGUAACGGCUCACCAAGGCGACGAUACAUAGCCGACCUGAGAGGGUGAUCGGCCACACUGGGACUGAGACACGGCCCAGACUCCUACGGGAGGCAGCAGUAGGGAAUCUUCGGCAAUGGACGGAAGUCUGACCGAGCAACGCCGCGUGAGUGAAGAAGGGUUUCGGAUCGUAAAGCUCGGUUGUAAGAGAAGAACGAGUGUGAGAGUGGAAAGUUCACACUGUGACGGUAUCUUACCAGAAAGGGACGGCUAACUACGUG
rnacentral:rRNA from 1 species